rnacentral:misc_RNA from 1 species
UCUCCGUAGGUGAACCUGCGGAGGGAUCAUUACAGAGUUCUCGCCCUCACGGGUAGAUCUCCCACCCACUGUUAUCGUUACUGUCGUUUCUUUGGCGGGCCGCCGGGUCCCCGGCCGCCGGCGCCUAGCUGCCGGCGCGCGCCCGCCAGAGGCCUUCAAACUCUGAAUGUUAGUGUCGUCUGAGUACUAUAUAAUAAUUAAAACUUUCAACAACGGAUCUCUUGGUUCUG